rnacentral:rRNA from 1 species
AUGAACGCUGGCGGCGUGCCUAAUACAUGCAAGUCGAGCGAACAGACGAGGAGCUUGUUCCUCUGACGUUAGCGGCGGACGGGUGAGUAACACGUGGAUAACCUACCUAUAAGACUGGGAUAACUUCGGGAAACCGGAGCUAAUACCGGAUAAUAUAUUGAACCGCAUGGUUCAAUAGUGAAAGACGGUUUUGCUGUCACUUAUAGAUGGAUCCGCGCCGCAUUAGCUAGUUGGUAAGGUAACGGCUUACCAAGGCAACGAUGCGUAGCCGACCUGAGAGGGUGAUCGGCCACACUGGAACUGAGACACGGUCCAGACUCCUACGGGAGGCAGCAGUAGGGAAUCUUCCGCAAUGGGCGAAAGCCUGACGGAGCAACGCCGCGUGAGUGAUGAAGGUCUUCGGAUCGUAAAACUCUGUUAUUAGGGAAGAAUAAAUGUGUAAGUAACUAUGCACGUCUUGACGGUACCUAAUCAGAAAGCCACGGCUAACUACGUG